GAUUAAUUUUACGAUCACAUUUCAAUAGAGUUGAGUGGUGUCACAAAUCACAAAUAUUAUAAGUCACAAUUUAUUAUAUAGUCACAAAUUAUCAAAUUACCGGACACAGACUAACAAAUUUUUAGGUCACACAUUAUUUUUUGUCACAAAUUAUUUUUUUAUUGGUCACAUAUUGUCUAUUAUUGGUCACAAGUUAACCAAUUUAAAGGUCACAUAUACCCCUACCCCAUGUCUCCAAAGCAGCACGACAUGGAACACAGAAGACGCCAUCCACAUUUCUUCCUGUGCCCAAAUCCUCCCCCAGAAAGCUGGCAACUUCAUUUUCUAGAUAAAUUGUUUGUGAAAAAGAUCAUCAUCAACGUCAAUUUCAAAUACUCAUAUGCUAUGCCAAUCUGGUGGAUUCUACGUCAUUUUCAUGGAUGAAACCAGCUUCAGAGAAACUUCAUAUUCAUUAUGUUUUUGUUCACCACCUUCUUCUUCUUCUUCCACGCCACCGCCACACACUGUCACUGCCACUGCCACUGCCACACCACACACACACUCCUACGACAGCACCGCCACACACCCACCUCCACACCAUGAAAACACCACCGUCAGACCGCCACGCCACAUCCACCACCGCCAGAUCUGCCACCGCCACACACCGCUAUACACUGCCACACCAUGAAAACAUCACUGCUAGACCGCCACACCACAUCCACCACAGCCAGAUCCGCCACCACCACUAGGCAAGCACCGCACCACAUCCACCUGUGUUUUCUUCAGGGGAGGGGGAGAGAGAGAGAGUGA
rnacentral:lncRNA from 1 species